rnacentral:rRNA from 1 species
AUCGACCGACUGUAUAGCAAAUACACAGGUUUUAGUUAAAGAUGUUUAGAAUUUAGAGCUGAUAUGUGACCAGUGCCUUGUAUUUAUUCAUCCGAAACGUUGGCCGUAACAAUAACGGUCCUAAGGUAGCAAAUUUCCUUGUCGUUAGUAACGACCUGCAUGAAACAUGGAACGAUUCGAUAGCUGUCUUGCGCACACGUCAUGGUGAAAUAUUCAUCAGUACGAAUGAUAUGCUGACUAAAGUUUAUUAACACUAAAGGACAAAAAGACCCUUUGAAGCUUUAU